UAGACUUGUCCAGGUUAGCAAACCCUCCUUAGGACACUAAAACACCCAUGGCUGUAGGUAGACUUGUCCAGGUUAGCAACCCUCCUUAGGUCACUAAAACACCCAUGGCUGUAGGUAGACUUGUCCAGGUUAGCAACCCUCCUUAGGACACUAAAACACCCAUGGCUGUAGGUAGACUUGUCCAGGUUAGCAACCCUCCUUAGGACACUAAAACACCCAUGGCUGUAGGUAGACUUGUCCAGGUUAGCAACCCUCCUUAGAAGGUCACUAAAACACCCAUGGCUGUAGGUAGACUUGUCCAGGUUAGCAACCCUCCUUAGGACACUAAAACACCCAUGGCUGUAGGUAGACUUGUCCAGGUUAGCAACCCUCCUUAGGACACUAAAACACCCAUGGCUGGAGGUAGACUUGUCCAGGUUAGCAACCCUCCUUAGGACACUAAAACACCCAUGGCUGUAGGUAGACUUGUCCAGGUUAGCAACCCACCUUAGGACACUAAAACACCCAUGGCUGGAGGUAGACUUGUCCAGGUUAGCAACCCACCUUAGGACACUAAAA